CGGACUCAACGCCGGGAAACUCACCAGAUAAGACAGCUGAAUGAUAGUCGGGCUGAAGACUCUACUUGACUAGCUGAGAGGAGGUGCAUGGCCGUCGUCAGUUCGUACUGUGAAGCAUCCUGUUAAGUCAGGCAACGAGCGAGACCCACGCCAACAGUUGCCAGCUCGUCCUCCGGGAUGGUGGGGACACUGUUGGACCGCCUCUGCUAAAGAGGAGGAAGGAAUGGGCAACGGUAGGUCAGCAUGCCCCGAAUUAUCUGGGCUACACGCGGGCUACAAUGGGUGGGACAAUGGGUAUCGACACCGAAAGGUGAAGGCAAUCUCCUAAACCCAUCCGUAGUUCGGAUUGUGGGCUGCAACUCGCCCACAUGAAGCUGGAAUCUGUAGUAAUCGUGUCUCAAAAUGGCACGGUGAAUAUGUCCCUGCUCCUU
rnacentral:rRNA from 1 species